UUCCUCGUGGCCCAAUGGUCACGGCGUCUGGCUACGAUUUCUUAGUCACUUCUGAAACCAGAAGAUUCCAGGUUCGAGUCCUGGCGGGGAAG
rfam:Eremothecium cymbalariae DBVPG#7215 chromosome 3, complete sequence.